UUGCGACCACAUCACUGUUGAAACCCGGUUCCCGUUCGAUCAUAGAGGUUAAGCAACGCCGAGUCUGGUCAGUACCUAGUGGGUGACCUCUUCGUAAUACCAGUUGCUGCAAG